CUUUUCGCAUUCACCCAGCAAGAUGGCGUCAAGGGUUUUCAGGUUACCAGUUUCCAUUGCUUUAAGGCAUUAUAAAUCACCCCUUGCGGUGAAAAACAACACCAUGACGAUUACAAAGAGACACUUCUGCUAUUCUGACACAGGUGCAAUCAUUCCCAAACCUGAAACCAUACGAUUUGGUGUGAGCAGGGUGCUUGGAACCAGCAUCCCAUUUCUGCUUCUCGGGUCGUACAUUAGCAUGGAAUUUGCAGCAUUGCUCGAAGAACACGAUUUGUUUGUGCCUGAUGACGACGAUGAUGACUGAUAACUAAGUCUAUUUUUCUCAUUACUGAAUGGAUAGAUGUGAGAAUUUUACUUAAACACCUCUUCCAUGACUUUCCUCCAAGAGUGCACCUGCCUUUCACCUGGGUCAUUUUAUGCUCUCCAUCAAGAGGCCAGAACAACAUACUGAAGUAUCACAGAGAUCGUGAUUUUGCCCAUCACUGAGCACACAAAUCCUUUCGAGCUAACAGCCUAGUGCUGUAGAUUUCGACAAUGCUGGUGUGAAUGUUGUCAGCCUGUGUGUUUAGUUGACUUGUCAAUAGAGUGACACUGGCCCUUGCAUAAAUGAACUGUUUUUCUACACUUUUAAUGGAGGAAAGAAUGCUUCUCUAUUCCAUAGCCAUAUCAUGUGAUAACUACUGUAGAUUUACUGUUGUAUUUAUUAAAUGUUAAACAUA